CUUGGGGGGGGGUGUCUCUCAGUCUGGAUUGAGAGAGGGCACAGGCCAGGCCAAGGGACCCCACCAGUGCAUG
rnacentral:pre_miRNA from 1 species